ACAUAAUCUCUGCCUCAAGAAGCUUUCAGCCUAGUGGGGAAUUACAGUGUGUGGCAAGAUGCUGAAAAUAUGUGACAGCGUCAGGACACCAAGACCUUACGUUAGUGGGGAAGGAAGUCUGCAAUUCUACAGUGUCAGUGUUUUUGCCUUUAUUGACUCAAGUUAAUUAAUAUGUGUGUGUGUCUCUGUGUGCAUUUUUAAGAGACCACAGAGGUGCGGAAAAUGAUGUCCUGGGGGAGUUGCAUCACAUUUCUCAUGUCUGGGGGAGUUAAGAUGUCUCAUUUUCCACUGCAACUGCUUGCAGCUGUAUCCCUCCACAAAUGGAAACAGAAUGCUCGCAGCAACCACCACCAAACGUAUAAGUUCUUAUGCCAGAGUCCUAGAGUACUGCAGAAAUGUGUUUGGAAAACCCUCCCUUUGAGGAAUAAUAAAUAG
rnacentral:lncRNA from 1 species